rnacentral:rRNA from 1 species
UACAGAGGGCCCAAGCGUUGUUCGGAUUCAUUGGGCGUAAAGGGUGUGUAGGUGGCCAACUAAGUCGGACGUGAAAUCCCUCAGCUUAACUGGGGAACUGCGUCCGAUACUGGAUGGCUUGAGUUUGGGAGAGGGAUGUAGAAUUCCAGGUGUAGCGGUGAAAUGCGUAGAUAUCUGGAGGAAUACCGGUGGCGAAGGCGGCAUCCUGGACCAACACUGACACUGAGGAGCGAAAGCCAGGGGAGCAAACGGG